GAUGAACGCUGGCGGCGUGCCUAAUACAUGCAAGUCGAGCGAACAGACGAGGAACUUGCUCCUUCGACGUUAGCGGCGGACGGGUGAGUAACACGUAGGUAACCUACCUAUAAGACUGGGAUAACUUCGGGAAACCGGAGCUAAUACCGGAUAAUAUUUCGAACCGCAUGGUUCGAUAGUGAAAGAUGGCUUUGCUAUCACUUAUAGAUGGACCUGCGCCGUAUUAGCUAGUUGGUAAGGUAACGGCUUACCAAGGCAACGAUACGUAGCCGACCUGAGAGGGUGAUCGGCCACACUGGAACUGAGACACGGUCCAGACUCCUACGGGAGGCAGCAGUAGGGAAUCUUCCGCAAUGGGCGAAAGCCUGACGGAGCAACGCCGCGUGAGUGGUGAAGGUCUUCGGAUCGUAAAACUCUGUUAUUAGGGAAGAACAAACGUGUAAGUAACUGUGCACGUCUUGACGGUACCUAAUCAGAAAGCCACGGCUAACUACGUG
rnacentral:rRNA from 1 species